CCUACAGCUCCCACAGUUCUAUGGGAAGGAUGACAGUGAGGUUCCUACAAUUCCCACAGUUCCAUGGGACAGAUGACUGUGAGGUUCCUACAAAUCCCACAGUUCUAUGGGGCAGAUGACAGUGAGGUUCCUACAAUUCCCACAGUUCCAUGGGACAGAUGACUGUGAGGUUCCUACAAAUCCCACAGUUCUAUGGGGCAGAUGACAGUGAGGUUCCUACAACUCCCACAGUUCCAUGGGACAGAUGACAGUGAGGUUCCUACAGCUCCCACAGUUCUAUGGGACAGGAUGACAUGAGGUUCCUACAAUUCCCACAGUUCCAUGGGACAGAUGACUGUGAGGUUCCUACAAAUCUCACAGUUCUAUGGGGCAGAUGACAGUGAGGUUCCUACAACUCCCACAGUUCUAUGGGGCAGAUGACAGUGAGGUUCCUACAACUCCCACAGUUCUAUGGGACAGAUGACAGUAAGGUUCCUACAGCUCCCACAGUUUUAUGGGAUGGAUGAUAGUGAGGUUCCUACAGCUCCCACAGUUCUAUGGGACGGAUGACAGUGAGGUUCCUACAAUUCCCACAGUUCUAUGGGGCAGAUGACAGUGAGGUUUUGACAUGAGAUUCUCUGCAUUCACAGCACCUUAUAGGCUCUGAAAUCUCCCAAUGCAGCUGAUAUAAAAGAGUAUUGCUUUUUCCCCCCG